GACGAACGCUGGCGGCGUGCUUAACACAUGCAAGUCGAACGGAAAGGCCCUGCUUUUGUGGGGUGCUCGAGUGGCGAACGGGUGAGUAACACGUGAGUAACCUGCCCUUGUCUUUGGGAUAACUUCUGGAAACUGGGGCUAAUACCGGAUAGGAGCUCCUGCUGCAUGGUGGGGGUUGGAAAGUUUCGGCGGUUGUGGAUGGUCUCGCGGCUUAUCAGCUUGUUGGUGAGGUAGUGGCUUACCAAGGCUUUGACGGGUAGCCGGCCUGAGAGGGUGACCGGCCACAUUGGGACUGAGAGACGGCCCAGACUCCAACGGUAGGCAACAGUGGAGAAUAUUGCACAAUGGGCGGAAGCCUGAUGCAGCAACGCCGCGUGCGGGAUGACGGCCUUCGGGUUGUAAACCACUUUCGCCUGUGACGAAGCGUGAGUGACGGUAAUGGGUAAAGAAGCACCGGCUAACUACGUG
rnacentral:rRNA from 1 species